CAAAAUGCUAUGCAGACAUAAUGGAAAUGGCAUUUACAUUGUAGAGCUUGGACAAAGUUCACACAGGCUCUGUGCAGGAAUUCAUCAAGGACAUGACUGUUGGGAUCACGCUUGUGGAUGACCAAUCUGAGCACCAUCAGUCUGCAGUGAUGUGGUCCAGCCAUCCAGUGACAUUUAAGGAUGUUGAGAAAGAAACUGAA